AGUAAUACUACACAUCAUCUCUGUCUUUCUUUUAUCUUUAUAAUUGAUGUAGCUCUUAAAAUCACAAAUAAUGCUACACAUCAUCCUUGUCUUUCUUUUAUCCUCACAAUUAAUGUAGCUCUUAAAAUCACAGUCAGAUCAGAAUCGAAGAUAGAGUAAGAGACCUUGAGAUUUAGAGAAAUGGAAAGGGAAACCGAGAGAAACUUCCUGCUUCUUCCUUCUUUUCCUCAUGUUCUCCUUGUUCUUCCCUCAACCAGCCAACACAGAGAGACCGAGAGUGAGACCUGAGAGAUCGGGAGAACAGAGAGGGAGAACCGGAGAAGACCCGACUAACCCGAGAGACCCGUGAGUCGGUGAUGGACCCAGAGACGAUCGAAGGCACGAUUUCCGGCCGAUCGCCGAUGUGUCGACGCCGGCGAAGCUAAGGGCGCGAUUUCCGGUGGGUUUCCGGCGAGUGGCGUAGAAAAGCAUCACGUGACCAAAUUCACCAUCUUUCUCGGUGGAUUUUCUGGAAAUCUCCAAAUAUGGGGUUGUGGUAACAUCCACAAUCACAUAUUUGUUGGUGCAGGUUCAAAAGACGAUGGAUUUGAUUAUGCUAGCUUUAAAGAUUUCAAGCCAACGUUUAUAUAGCUGAUUGUAUUUGGUUGUAAUCAUUUGUGUUCACAUUCUUUUAUAUGUAAUAUGCUUAGAAAAAUGUUCGUAUGGGAUAGAGUUUUCAUGUAUGUUCGAGUGUCGUUUGUGACACAUGUUUUGAUGUAAUUAACAAAAAGAAAAUUAAAUAUCUUCGGAUAAAUAUCUAGAGGUAUUUUAGUCA